AGGAUUAUAGUUUAAUUAAAACACUUAAAUUGCAAUUAGGAGAUAAAUAUUAUUUAAUCUGA
rnacentral:tRNA from 1 species